CACUCACACAGGUGCAGAACCGUACUCAAAUGAACUAGGCUCUAGUUGAUUGAUAUUGGUAUUGGAAUCAAAUUGGAUUGCCUGUUGAAACUACUGGACGGCGGGUGUUUUUUGUUUAAAGAUUCACGGCACAUUGCCCAGUUUCUUCGUGAGCCAUGUCUGUGCCAGUACAAAGAAAAUAAUAUGUCCGACUGCCGGACGUGACCAGUCCCAUUGCCUCGUUGUCCUCCGUUGCGUUGACGUCGUCGUAGGAUGAACGCUGUACGACGCGGAUUUUGUAAGUCAAUAUUAUGGAAAACCAUUGAGCAAAAGCGACUGUAGAUCGACCGGAAUUAACUUAUCAUUUAAUGAUUAUAAAUCAACUUAUACCUGCUUCCGAUGAAAGAAAAUAUUGUAUGGAAACUUGCACAUAGGUUGACUGUUAAGGUCUGCUUGUAUGUCCAGAGACAUUUAUUUAUUUAUUUUCUUUUUGGAAAAAGAACAGCUAAUUACAUAUGUAGUACAAAAUAACAAAAGAAAUUUGGCGAAUUACAAGUUUUCACUGAUAAAUAGUUAUCUAUAUUAACAUAAAGAUUACGUCGGUAAAAAAUAAUAACAUAUUUAUUUAGUACACUGAAUAAUAAAGCGAUAUGUCUUAUUAAUUUUACAUAUGAAAACUAUCGCUCAAAAAGGAUAAAAUGUUUCAACAUUCACUCGAAAAGAAUAAAUUUUUAAAUAACUGCGUCCUAAAAGAUAAAAAUCGACAAUAAAACAGUAGAACACAAAAGCCAACUUUGAGCAUUUCGGGACCUGUUUAGGUCUGCGUAACAAAUAAUUGGCUGAAAUUCGCACAAUUGCCGUACUAUAAAAUUACAAAAUAAUGAGUAAACAGAAGAAUAACGGCUGUUUCUUGUUGAAUUUGAGCAUCUUAACUGAAAAUGGAAGGAAAGUGUAAAUUGUAUUGAGGCGAUAUUAUAAAACAAUUCUAAAUAUAUUAUGCCAGCUCCACGGUAUCGCCGAACUCAGACACAUGCCGACGCGAAUUCGUGAACAUUGCGUAAUUAGUAUGAGUGAUUUUUAUGCCACAAUGAAAAACUAGCAAUGUGUAACGAAUCCGCCAAAGUAAGGCAAACUGUUUGGUGACAGUGUGGAGCAUUUUAUUUAUUGCUCAAAUGACCAAAUACAGUGA